UCACUGGCUCCCAGUCUUCGACGAGCGGUCGACACGCGCACACGCGCCACCUGCAGACGGCACCGAGUCGUGUCCCAGCCCAGGGCUUGUGACAGAAGAUGUCCUGGACAUCGUCCAACGAGUGACGAUCCGGAAUAACGCAAAGGACGCGCGCAGCUGGGAGAUAAAACUGUCGGAAGUCCGUCUGUCCUACUUCGAGUAGACAACACACUCAAAGCUUAUGGACGCAAGUAGCUGGCAUUUGCUAAGUGGAGGACUGAACUUGAGAUCUGCGACACCCUGGGUUUGGUGCCAGUCUAUGUCAGAUGCACAGGUCUGAGGCAGCGCCACCAUCGACCAAACACAUUCAAAGCAGCCAGUCACAACAUCUUAUGACUUUGUCGGCGGACGACGACUGAAUGCUUCGUGGAUUAAAGCAGCGACGUGCAGGACCAGCCAGCAGAGAGUCCAGCCAGCGAUGUGUCAGUCAAGUGUCCGGUGCUUGUUGGUUAUCCACUCGUUUCUCUUCAUAUUCGUCUGCAAUGCCCAGUCUUCAGGUGGCACAGACACUUCAGUUCACCCGGGUGCUAGGGAUGCCCACUCCCUCCCCACCACUCGAUGACUUACGGUUAGCACGUGCUUUCCCCUUGUUCGUGCGGACAAGCCUCGAUUUCGCUCGGCCGCUCAUCCAAGGGCUGGCGUUUGAUUUACAGAAAUUCCCACUCGGUUUGACAGACCGCAUUCAGGAGGCUAAAAAGGCGUUGGACUACGUGCAGCGCAUCGCCCAGUCGUCCAACUGCUCCUCGGGCACAUCAAACACGCUGAAGCUGACCUUUGACACCACCGCCUGGACGUCGUACACCAACGCUGCCAUCCGCACCGCCAACUUCCUGUCGCAGGCUCUGGUCAUCGGUAGAGGUACACUCAACAGCUUGAAUGAAAGCAUACUGUACGAUCUGGUGAGGAACAGUGUCCACGGCAACACGCUGGUGUACGGGUCCGCCAUCGCGCUGGAGCCCAGUCUGUACUCGGGGCUCAACACCUUCUGUCCCUACGCACACAAGACAGACCAGGGCUUCGUGGUCUUUGACUUGGCCAAGUCCUACAACUACGGCUCCAACAACACAGAGUGGUAUCACCAUCUCAAGAUCAAAAACUUUUCUGAUGUGCCACUCAUCACAGACAACGUGACUUACGGCAGCGUAUCUAGGCAGUGGUCUCAACCUGUGGCAAACUUGUCUCAUGGCCACUGGACCUCUCCUUACUUUGACUGUGGUGGUGGCGACAUCUGGAUGGUCACCUUCUCAGCUCCAGUUCUGGGCCUCGAUUCCAAGAACACUCCUUUGUUUAAGGGUGUCUCCACUAUCGACCUGGAGCUGACGAACAUAGACAUCAACCAGUGUGACCAUGACAACAGUAACGCAAUCGGCUCUCUGGACGUCUUCAGAGGCACUCACAACUGUCAGCCAACCACCAAAUGUCAGCCCACCAAAAAUCAAGGUUUCAAGCGAGGCUCCUACACUUGUGUCUGUAUAGACGGCUACUACUUCCCAGACACCAAUAAUGAAAAACAAGCGUUUGAAGGAAGCGACAUCGACAAAGCGUUUGACGAUGGAGCCAAUACCAGCGAACUCCUUAGCAGAUUCCAGUGCCUGGCCUGUCCUCGUGGGUGUGACACGUGUACAGACAGUACCCCCUGUCUGUAUGAGUUUGAUCCCGCCAUCAGAAUUCUCGUCGUCUUUCUCAUUGCUGUGCUGAUUGUCGUCUGCGGUGUCAUUUCCUUCAUCACGUUCAAGUAUCGGAAAGAGCUGGUCAUGAAGACAGCAAGUCCCAUCUUCCUGCAGAUGAUGCUUGGAGGCUCCGUUCUCAUGUCCAUGUCGGUGCUCAUCAUGUUUCCAGAGGCAAGCGAUACUGUGUGCACUUUCUUCAUAUGGCCAUUUCAUCUAGGCUUCUCUGUUGUCUAUGGCGCUCUGCUCAUCAAAACCUGGAGAAUAUCCGUAAUUUUCAACAGCCGAAAGAAAGUCAACUUGCCGGAUAAAGUUCUGCUUCAGCGGCUGGCCCCUCUGCCCGCUUUGAUGACCGUCUACCUGGUUUGCUGGACGGUGCUGGGCAAGCCCCAGGCGGUGACCAUCACCAUGGCGAGCUCCAAAAAGUUCUUCUCUUGUUCCCUCACCUACUGGAAUUAUGCUGUUUACGGGGUGGAAGUCCUACUGCUCCUGUUCGGGGUGUACUUAUGUUUCACUGUACGUAAAGCGCCGGCACAUUUCAACGAGAGCAAACACAUCACGUGGUCUACAUAUAACGCCAUCAUCCUCGGCAUCUUCAUCAUCACACUUACGCAGAUGCUGGAGCGCACGGCCGGCCCUGACGUGCUGUACGUGCUGCUGAUGGCGCAGCUACAGGUGUUCGUCACCAUCACGCUGGCCCUCAUCUUCGUGCCGAAGUUUUGGGCUCUCUACAAAGGCGCACGGUUUGAUCAGGGCCAGCCAGGUGCGGUGUCCGUGACAGGCAGGGUCAAGGCAGGGUCGACCCUCCCUACAACGUCGGCGUCUGUCGACGUGCGUCACAUGGGGGUGCAGGUAACCUCGGAAGACCUGUGUCUUCUGCCUGCUUCGUCCACCCAUCCUGUGUCGCAGGAGGAAAACGACAAGUCCACCAAGCCGUCCCUUGGGUUACAUUCAGGCAAAGUGUCACCCUCAUCAGGGACUGCAGUCAAGCAAUGUUCCACUCCUCAAGCACUGUUACCUCGAAAACUUGUUCAAAGUACUGAAACCUGAUGCCAGGAAGGGAGGCCAAACCCUUCUUAGUGAGCAGACGCUGCUAGCGGGCAGAUAACUGCCUUGGUGAAGAGCCUUCACAGCAUCCUCCUCCUCGCUCCGUCCACCACCAGACAUUAGCAGCACGGCGCGUGCCGGGUCACGCCCCACACUCGUCUACACAUGCCACAGCCUCUACCUUCCUGCUGAUCGUUGGCCAUAUCGGAAAGUAGAGAAACGCAGACUGAGCUUAUCUCACUCCACGUCUUUCAAAUCGUUUUGCCAUGACAAAGCCUUGAAGACUUGUCAGCUCACCAAUUUUAUCAAGGAAGAAUAUUUCAGGAUAUCUUCCACUCUAUUAUGAUACUUCAUAUAAACUCUGCGUGACAAUGAGAUCCAAGCUCGGCCUUACAAAAUGGUUUAGAUACAAUGUCUCUACAGACCUUUCAGCACAACCAUACUUUAAGCACAUCAUCUGUGAUCCGAGAGAUUUGCCAUGAUGGGGGUGGUUUGGUUUCAGCUGCUUAUUCUACUUUGAAAUUUUUCUCCAUUGCAGACAACCCAGCAUGACAUCCGUGAUUAUAUUCAUUCAUGAAUCUUAUAUCCUCCAAAUGAAUCUUAUAUGCUCCGAAACAGAGACAAAAGUACAGGCAUAAACAAAAUCUAAGAUAUGGGGUGUAUGACGGUUUAACCACAUGAUAGACUCUUAUUGUUCUUGAAGUACUUCAAGACCAUGCAGUGUGGUACGUGUGCGGUGCUUAUCACCGUUUCAUAAUGUUGCACCAAGUUAAUCUGCUGGCCAAGAUGCUUCUUUUCUGAAAUCACAGUAACAAUAAUCGUUUUUGGCGAGAGGCGAAGGGUGUGAUGUCUACUGCGUGUAUUGUUAACGUCUUUAUAGUUAGACUGAACCCAUCUACCUUAACGACUUUUAGGUGGAAUUUUUCUGAUAAUAAUUAGUGGGUAAUAAUAAUUCAAGUGGAUAAUAAUUAUUCGGUAACAUCCCCAGUGGAUAAUAAUUACUGAAGAAAACGAGCAGCGUUUUCUCUCCCACACCCACCCUCCCUCGUCUUUCAAUAUUUUUUUCUUCUUUCUUUCGUUUUAAAAUAUGACGGUUAAAGGCAAUUGGAAAGAGUUAUUAAUAGAUACAACAUAUUGAACUCAUUUAAAAAGUCAAGUGUAAAAUAGAUGAGAGCCCCAAUAAAUAUAAUCAGCACCGAAGUGACUAUAAGAACAGUCGCUGCUCACUCAGGUCAGGCUUUGUAGCAGACUGCGCCGAGCAAAUACUCGUCAAGAUGAUCCUUGCCACCGACAGGCACGACAUCAAUACAAUGGCGGUACAGAUAACGCGUCCUCGUGUUUGAACUAUGCUUUAUUCAGGAUGGGAUUCUCAUCGAUUAUUUCAGUUUAAUUGAAAGAAUCGACCUUCUUUGUUUGUCUGCGCUUAGAGGUGUUCCGGCAGCACUUGCUCGGUUUUCAUUUUGGCGAACAGAAUUUUAUGUGCAAAAUUACUCAAGAAAUCCAGCCGUCCGCUCACUAGACGUUUGACGAUCUUUUCCUGAAGCUGUGUACAUGUGAGUCUUUGACUUUCGUUUCGUUCCGACGGUAUUGCUUGCAUUGAAAAGAUUUGGACGGGUUUCUCUGAUUCCCAUGCGAUCAAACAUGCGAGGGGACCGAAAAGGGACGUAACUCUACGAAGAGCAUUCUGCUGUUGAUGCAGCAGUUUCUUUGACUUUCGUUUCGUUCCGACGGUAUUGCUUGCAUUGAAAAGAUUUGGACGGGUUUCUCUGAUUCCCAUGCGAUCAAACAUGCGAGGGGACCGAAAAGGGACGUAACUCUACGAAGAGCAUUCUGCUGUUGAUGCAGCAGUUUCUUCCCUUGAGAGAUUGAUGCCAGUUUCUUUCACCAGACCUCCAUUAAAAAGAAAAAGUCAAAAUAACUGUAAGCCUAGCAAGCGUAGACCGACAGCAAAUAGGGUACACCCAACUGAAUGCAUGUGGCAAAUGUUUACAGGGCUGGCUGCCUUGCCGUGAUAUAGGCUUAGUUGCUGGUUCCUGUAAAACACCAAUUAAACUUCCUCCACAAACCUAUAACAUUUCCAAACAAUAUUUUUAUGUCUUUUUGACCGAUAUUUGUCCAGAAUAUUAUCAUACACACCACCAUUUUUAAAAUCUGCCAUGAUGGUCUUGAGCUUUCUUAGCAAACUCAUCAAGCUAACAGAUGAUGGUAAUCAUCAUGAGCAACAUAUGCUGAUGUUGAUGUGAUUUAUUGAGUGCCACUUCUUUGAAAUGUCCAUCUCUGUUGAUAAAAUUACUGCUGCCCGAUGUUGGUGUGCAAAGAACGUCCAACAAACACUGCCAAUAGAAAAUGUAAUAUGCUGUUCUAGUUGACAAGCAGUUUUUGGAAGUAUUUCACUGUUUUACUUUCAAUAUAAAAAAAAUAAUUUCCAGAUAUUUCACCAACUACAUUUCCCUAUAUAAGAAUUUUAAAAGGUAUGGAUUUGUUGGUACUUAUUACCACCAGAUAAUAUUGUUUUUAUGCAGACAUUUGUGUGGAUACUAGGAUGGAUAGAUAUCUUUGGUUUUAAGCACCAGGAAUUAUUGACUGAAUGGCUAUAUGGUUAUUACUACUGCUGCCACUUGUGUAUGUGUACAGCCUGUGAUAUGACAUUCUUUAUAUACAACUCAGUUUCCUGAUGACCAUCUUGGGGGUAAUUGUACAUCACUUCAUGUAGAUAAAACUAUUGUGCUUUAAGUGUUUUUAAACUGUUGUAAAAUGAUGCCUGGAGACAAACAUGCAAAACCUCCUCAAUGUAUCUGUGAGUUACUGUUUACAAUAUGGUGUCCUAAAACACAGCAUGUCCAAGUGCAUGAAUAAAAUAAUAAAUACACUACACGAGGUGACAGUUGGGAUCAUAGUUAUAAAGAGCAAGUUGAUGCCCUGUUCAAGGACAAACAUCAUUUCCAAAUUAUAAAGUAGUGUCCAGACCCCACAGAUGAUGUUUUACUCCAUUUCAUCAUGCAUUUAUUAGUACUAUUGGACACUGUAGGUCAGAUGGUUAGGAUUUGGGAAGACAGCAACCGAUAAAGGCCACAGACAAUGGUAUCGUGGGGAGGAAACCAAAUACCAACAUGGUCUGGGCUUCUUUGUAUGUAGAAAAGUGGCUGGACCAGUCAUCAGCUCAGCUGUGUGCGCACAGGCUGGCAUCCAUUUGCAUCUCUGUCAUGUCUCAGUGUUACUAUGGUCCAGGUUAACACUUCAACUUCCGUGCACAAAGAAGUAGAGGAGUUCUACAACUGGAUGGAAAGAGUUAUAAAGGCAGUGGCAAUGAAAGGAUCCUCACCAUAUGCCAAGAUCAAUCCUAACAGCCUGAAGCAUGGAUUGCGAAAAUCUUCAAGGCCUAAUUUAGAGCUAAAUUCGCCUCUCAAGAUAUUGGGCUGUGUGGAAGACAUCAAAGAAAUGCUACUUUCAACAGCCAAAGAGGUGCUAGGGAGGCAAAAAAAGAAACAAUUAUGGGUCGCAAAUGAUGUUCGAAAUCUUUGUGACCAAAGGAGUCUUAAGAAAGCGAGAAAGAGCAACGAAGCUGCUAAGUGAAAAAAUAAAAAAACAAAAACACCAACAUUAAAAAGGGAGAUGAAGGCAGCUAAGGAAAACUGUACAGAUAUUUCAUUUCAUUAAGAUUAUGUAAAUAACUUUCAAGUUCUACAUAAUAGAAUACCUCUUCAAGGUUUUCACUCAGAAUUUCAGACACUCCUCACUUAAUGGCCGAGUUCCAUUCUUACAACUUGAAUAAUAAACAAACUGGUCGAUAAGCAAGAAGCCACCCUUACUUAUAUUUCAGGCAUAAUAUACUCUUAUUGGGUUUGUGUCAAUAUCUUUAAAUAUUGUUUUAAUGUUACCUUUGCACAAUUUUUAAUAUAUAUACAUGUUUAUAAGCUCUAAUAUACUUUAUUUUGCAUACUGUGAACAGGAAAUUGUUUUUAUUUAUUCUGAAUAAAGAAAAGGUCUGUAGGAAAUACCAGA
rnacentral:misc_RNA from 1 species